UACGGGGGUGGCAAGCGUUGUUCGGAAUUACUGGGCGUAAAGGGCGCGUAGGCGGGGAGGUAAGUCGGGUGUGAAAUCCCUCGGCUCAACCGAGGAACUGCGCCCGAGACUGCCUUUCUUGAGUCCCGGAGAGGAAGGUGGAAUUCCCGGUGUAGCGGUGAAAUGCGUAGAGAUCGGGUGGAACACCAGAGGCGAAGGCGGCGACCUGGAUAGGUACUGACACUCAACUGCGAAAGCGUGGGGAGCAAACAGG
rnacentral:rRNA from 1 species